rnacentral:rRNA from 1 species
CCUACGGGAGGCAGCAGUGGGGAAUCUUAGACAAUGGGCGCAAGCCUGAUCUAGCCAUGCCGCGUGAGUGAUGAAGGCCUUAGGGUCGUAAAGCUCUUUCGCCUGUGAUGAUAAUGACAGUAGCAGGUAAAGAAACCCCGGCUAACUCCGUGCCAGCAGCCGCGGUAAUACNGAGGGGGUUAGCGUUGUUCGGAAUUACUGGGCGUAAAGCGCACGUANGCGGAUUGGAAAGUUGGGGGUGAAAUCCCGGGGCUCAACCCCGGAACUGCCUCCNNAACUAUCANUCUAGAGUUCGAGAGAGGUGAGUGGAAUUCCAAGUGUAGAGGUGAAAUUCNUANAUAUUUGGAGGAACACCAGUGGCGAAGGCGGCUCACUGGCUCGAUACUGACGCUGAGGUGCGAAAGUGUGGGGAGCAAACAGGAUUAGAUACCCUGGUAGUCCACACCGUAAACGAUGAAUGCCAGUCGUCGGGCAGUAUACUGUUCGGUGACACACCUAACGGAUUAAGCAUUCCGCCUGGGGAGUACGGUCGCAAGAUUAAAACUCAAAUGAAUUGACGG